GCACACUUAAAACAUAAGUGGCACUAUACAAAAAAAUUCAUUUUUGAGUUAAGUAUGCAGUCAAAAGGCAUAAAACGAAACGCGCCUAACGCAAAGAUCCCGGUAGCUCUAAUGCGUCAAAUUUUUGCUAGAUGUCGCUAGUGUCACUUAUGAAUUUGUCACAAUUUGUCCGGUCGGUAAUUGAUAAACCGGCACUAUGCCAUUUCGCGUCAAGUCUCCGGUGGAAAUCCUUGUCGAGGCUUUUUGUAUUAUACUAUCAUGGAUCCGAAAAGAAGUAGAUGUAGAAGUAUAAUAGAAUUAUCAACUCAGAACAAUCAAAGAAAAAAAGAAAAUGAUGACGAUGAUGGAUCUCAAAUUACUAAGCCUGCUUCUAAAAGAAAUUCCGAUAUUGUUGAACCGCUUUCAACAAUGAGUGCGUCCGAUUUGAACAUCAUGAGAAGUUCAUCCUUUAAGCUCUUAUCACAACCAAACUAACACUGACGAUGGUAACUUUUUUCUCGCCUCAGACGAUGACAGAACAAACUUUCCAUCAAAUAAAAAAUGCAGGAGAUCAAACUCAAACUCGUCGUCAUCGUCUUCGUCGUCCAGCUCGUUCUCAUCUUCGUCCUCAAGCACAUCAUCCAGUUCAGCUUCAGCUUUGUCUAUACAAAGGCCAUAACCUAACCCAACAAAUUACUCAAAGUAGGUACUAUAGACACACGUAAUAAUUUCGACCCUUCUAAUCCGGAUGACGAAACAGAGAACCCAAAAUGUAAAGUAAAAGGAAUGACCAAAUGCAAAAAUUGAUGACAUUUCCUUCACUCAGAUUGUUGAAGUUUCUAAUAAUCAUCAAAUAAGUGAUCAUCUUCCUGCUGAUUCGAAUCUUAAAAAUAGUCUUGCUCCGAAUGAUGGUUAUCUUGUCGCCUCUUCCAACCCUGCUGAUAACGUCGAAAUCAUACAUUUUAAUACAAAUGACACAGGAACGAUGAACGAUACUGCAAAAGAAGCUCCAACUCAGCCAGUUGAUGCAAUUACAAGAAAACGAAAAAGAAUAAGAUCGUUACAUACUACAAAUAUUGUGAAGAUACUAAUAAAUACAGGC